rnacentral:rRNA from 1 species
UGGGGAAUAUUGGACAAUGGGCGCAAGCCUGAUCCAGCCAUGCCGCGUGAGUGAUGAAGGCCCUAGGGUUGUAAAGCUCUUUCACCGGUGAAGAUAAUGACGGUAACCGGAGAAGAAGCCCCGGCUAACUUCGUGCCAGCAGCCGCGGUAAUACGAAGGGGGCUAGUGUUGUUCGGAUUUACUGGGCGUAAAGCGCACGUAGGCGGACUUUUAAGUCAGGGGUGAAAUCCCGGGGCUCAACCCCGGAACUGCCUUUGAUACUGGAAGUCUUGAGUAUGGUAGAGGUGAGUGGAAUUCCGAGUGUAGAGGUGAAAUUCGUAGAUAUUCGGAGGAACACCAGUGGCGAAGGCGGCUCACUGGACCAUUACUGACGCUGAGGUGCGAAAGCGUGGGGAGCAAACAGG